UGACAAAUGGCAUCUAUUCUAUGAAAGGCUUGGCACUCUAGAAUAGAUUCCAUUUCUAUUAAGAGCCCUAGUGUCUAAUUCUUGACGCAUUUUGUAUGGUGUACUAUAUGAUGAUGUAAAUGGGAUAAUGGUUUCUGAAUUUGGCAGUUUUUAUACCCGUUUUUUGUUUAUAUUAUAGAUUCGGUGUCUUGGUGUGGGACCAUCUGAUCCUAACUCCAAAACUCAUUACUUUCAUUUUGUUAGUGCCAUGAUUUUGAUUUGCUGUACUGCACAUUUCAAAUCUCAUCUAUUCCCUUCCGAUUUGCUUACGUUAUUGUUAAUCCCAACUUUUGAUAUUUCAUCUAAUUUGAAGAAUUACUUUUUAUAAUGGCUGUUAUUUUUACUUUUAUAGGGCACUUGCCUUGGAUGAUGCCUGAUCGUGUAAUGGAAUUUUGCAACAACAAUGAUCUUCGGCUGAUUGUUCGUGCACAUGAAUGUGUGAUGGAUGGCUUUGAGCGUUUUGCCCAGGGACAUUCGAUCACACUUUUCUCUGCUACAAACUGCUGUCGUAUUUGUUACUAGCUUCUACAUGCCACUUUCCUCCACAGAUAAUUCUCCCUUCUAAAUUUUGGCACUUUAUUAUUUGAAUAGGUACGGCAAAUAAUGCUGGGGCAAUAUUAGUUUUGGGUAGAGAUCUCGUUGUGGUUCCUAAUUUGAUUCAUCCAUUACCGCCUCCAAUUUCUUCACAAUAAACUCAUUCGGCAAAUGAUGCUGUCGCCUGAAUUUCUGGUGUUACGAAUGUAGCAUGAUGUCGUUUAUGGGGUAUUCGAGCCUGUGAUGAUAUAAUACUCGCAGAAAGCUUGAAGGACCAAGCUUUUAUUUGUCCUGGUUCUCAUCACUCAAUCAUCAAUCCAAGUUCGAGAAGCAAAGCAAAGUUUGUAACCACUGCUAAGUCGGUUCACUUUGACAAAAGCUAGAAGUUCCCACCCACCUGUCGUAAAUUGAGGCAUAGGGUACAAAAUCAAGGUCAUGGAUGUCCGUGUGGCUAUUUUUCUCAUUAUUUUUAUAUUUUUUUUGUUUUUCAAAAACAUGUUUUUCAAGAUUGAUUGUGCAUUAAGCCUGCAUGUGCAUGAUGAAUGCACAUGUAAAGUAUGACUCGCUAAAGUAACCAUGCACUAAGUCUUCAAAUGUGCGUUUAGCGCACGUACACGAUCCAACUGGUUUUUAGCUUGACUUUUUGCACGGAGCGUGCACUAACAUGUUGAGUGCGCUACUCCAAUUCUUCGACAUUUUCUAGAUCUUUAUUGUUGUGUUAAACUCUACAAGAAAUAGAACCAAAACAUUGUCAA